rfam:Aeromicrobium sp. Root344 contig_1, whole genome shotgun sequence.
GGGCCUCUAGCUCAAUUGGCAGAGCAGCGGACUUUUAAUCCGCGGGUUGUGGGUUCGAGUCCCACGGGGCCCA